UUAAGACAGUGUGGAGCUUUUAAAAAAAAUUAAUUGUAGCCAAACGCAUUUCUAACCAAUACAUUUUUUCUCAUCAGGUAUUAACAGAGCCAAUUAGCAUUCUUCCCCGGAAUUGAUGUAUAGGAAAGAUACUGUGAGAAAGAUACUCUUGCUUUUGGCUCUAAAUACAAAGUAGGGUGUAAAGUUGGAGGUGCUGAGAGUUAUCUUUUUUCCCGUCAUGUAGAAAAGGCCUGUUUGUAGUGGAAGAUAUGAAGCCAAGGAGGGAAAAGGGAGGUGAGAAAUAUAUGGGGGGGAGAGAGAGAGAGAGAAGAGAGGGAGAGAAGGUGGGGGAGGGAGGGAGAAAGUGGGAGUGAGAGAGAAGGAAAGAGAGAGAGGGGGAGAGAGGAAAAAAGAGGGAGCGAGAGAGGAGAGAGAAAGAGAGGGAGAGAAAGUGAGGGAGAGACAGUGAGGGGGGAGAGGGAGGGGGAAGGGGAAUGAGAGAGAGAGGGAGACAGAAAGAGGGAGAGAGGGGGAAAAGGGGAGAGAGAGAGGGAGAGAGAGAAAGCACAGGGAGAGAGAAAAAGAGAGACGGUGAGAGAGGGAGAGGGGGAGAGAGAGGAGGAAGAGGGGGAAGAGAAAGAGGGAGAGAGAGAGAAGAGAGAAGGAUGAGAAAUGUAUUUUGGCAGUGUCGAGUGCCAGUUCAACUGCUUGGGGACAUUAUCCCUGUAACCCAUCCUUUCAAUGCUAUAUACUCCUUCAGUAUCAUUUUCAAAGCGUGUGAGCCAAUACAUUCCACUCCCCCUUAGCAUGGCUUAAGUUCAGUUUCUGUUCCGAUUUCUCUUGCAGAUUUCCCUAUACAUUUUAAGGGUGAAUGGACACUGGCUCCCACACUGCUUUCUGGGAGGAUCUGUUCUAACUUGGAAAAGGAUCUUGUAUGGCCUGGAACAAGGCAGAAUUAGUGGCUUUUUACUCAUCUUCUGGGUGUUCAGCUCCUCUCUGUCAGGGCUGGAGACUGCAGGACAGAAUGUAACAGCUGGAUAGAGUCUGGUAAGGGCAUUUUAUAUAAGCCUUGCUGGAUGUAACAAGGGCCCCAUUCAUAUUUCUCCUCUUUUACUCAGUAACUUUAAUUCUUCAUUUUUAUCCUGAAAAUAGCACAAUAGGGAGUGAAGAUUUUCUCCUAAAGAUACAGAGCCAGGCUGUCUCACAAUGGUCAAUGGGAAACAGCCCAGAGAUGCAUAAUCUGAA
rnacentral:lncRNA from 1 species